ACCAGGUUCUAAGAAUAAGACUAUUGCUCUAACAAAGCAAAGCAUUGUUGCACAAAGUAAGUAAACCUGGUUUUUGUAAUUAAUAAAUACAAAUCAUCACAAAAUACAAAUGGAUUAAGAAAACACUCCUUUUUAUAUUCCACGGGGAGAACUACAAAGACAUAAACGAAUAUUAUAAAUCAACUGGAAAUCAAAGUAAAUAGGAACAAGAAAAUCAAGAUCUAUGUAGUAUUUUUUAAAUCAAGAAUUACCAAAAAGGCAAAAGGAAAUAUCAAAUCUUUAUCCAGCCUCUGUUAUCUAUUAUAUGGUAUAGUUCGCUUUGGGUAUUAACUUAUCUCUGCAAAAAAUGCUAAUAAGCGGAAGUUGAGAAUUUUUCUGAAAACACACAUUCAACAGAUUAGUAUGCUUAUAUGCUUAAAAAAGUAGUUUUGGUCUUAAUUUCUGUAAGUUCCGUGAAAGUACGUAAACAUCGCGGUUUUCAAUAGAUUCUGGUUAAGGUUUACAAAAACCAAACUGAUGCGAUUUCCUUUAAUCAGUUGUAACUUAGUUGUCAUUUCACUUGCAGGUAACCCCUAGCUUUUUGUUAGGCCGACAGUAAAAAGACCAGCUACAGAGUGAUCCUCAGGUAGGUGGGAGGGGGUUAGAAGUGUUUGCAUUCUCUAUUUCUUUUUAAGAAAAGUGCCGUUCCAACGCGAGCGAGUAGGGCAGCCUGGGAGAGGAAGGAAUAAACAAGUCUAGGGCUCGCGCGUAGACCAGGUGAGCGGGUAAUAAAUGGCCCGGCAGCACAGCAUUUGUUAUUGGGCGGAUUUUCUUGCCGAUAGGCUCCCCUGGAAGAUCUGGGUGACGGCUUCAAGUCCGCUGGGACCAAGGCCAGUCCCCCUCUAAGGAUUAAUCGCCAAUGAGGGGGACCCUGUGGGUGCCUCCCAGCACGAAUCAGGGUGACAAACCAGGUUUCCUCUCCCUCCCGCGUCCAGGUGGGUGACAAGUGGUGUCAGUCUCCAGGCCGGCCCGCCGUCUCCCCACUGGCCCUCCCCUCCCGUUACCUGCGGGCGGCGGUGCCGAGGCCCGGAGGCCUGCAACUGCUCCUCCUCUUCCCCGCCAGGCUGGGGCGGCGAGGUGGCGGUGGCGGAGGCAGCGGCGGUGGCGGCAACCCGGGGGGAGGGGGCGGAGCGCGCGACUGGCUCCUCUCCUCCCCCGGGAGGCUCAGGGGACCCUAUCUCGGGCCGCCGCUCCUAGGCCAGUGUGCAGCCUGGGACUGGGCGCGCAUGGCGGCGCCGCUCACCCGCGUGGCCGCGAGUGAUGAGCAACAUCAGAAAACAAAUCGGGCCUGGCUUUACAGUGAGAUUUGAAGAAUCUUACUAACUACGGAGGCGCCUGAGCUAAAAAGGCCCUUGGUAGAGUGUGUACUGAAAACAUAUGUCAUGGAAAAACAACGGGAGAAGAAUCUAGUGGGAAUAAAGUAGACAAAUAAAGCCUGUGUCUUAGUCUA
rnacentral:lncRNA from 1 species